rnacentral:rRNA from 1 species
GAUGAACGCUGGCGGCGUGCCUAAUACAUGCAGGUCGAGCGAACGGACGAGAAGCUUGCUUCUCUGAUGUUAGCGGCGGACGGGUGAGUAACACGUGGAUAACCUACCUAUAAGACUGGGAUAACUUCGGGAAACCGGAGCUAAUACCGGAUGAUAUUUUGAACCGCAUGGUUCAAAAGUGAAAGACGGUCUUGCUGUCACUUAUAGAUGGAUCCGCGCUGCAUUAGCUAGUUGGUAAGGUAACGGCUUACCAAGGCAACGAUGCAUAGCCGACCUGAGAGGGUGAUCGGCCACACUGGAACUGAGACACGGUCCAGACUCCUACGGGAGGCAGCAGUAGGGAAUCUUCCGCAAUGGGCGAAAGCCUGACGGAGCAACGCCGCGUGAGUGAUGAAGGUCUUCGGAUCGUAAAACUCUGUUAUUAGGGAAGAACAUAUGUGUAAGUAACUGUGCACAUCUUGACGGUACCUAAUCAGAAAGCCACGGCUAACUACGCG